GAGUAAGAUCCCUGUGCCUAACAAAUAAUAUUACAAGUAUAUUGUAUCUAUGGUAAAAGUGACCUUAUAUGUGGUGCUACAUGCUGAACAUGUAAUCAUGAGAACCUGUGUAGAAAAUGAUGGAUUAGAGAGAGAUAAAGGGACAUAACUGCACUCUUAAAAUCAAGAAAAUUUCCAACUUCACUGUCUACUUCUUUACAUACUGUAUAUGUAUAGAUCUGAAAUAUGCUCUAAUUAAGUAAACAACUCCCCAACAAGAUUUUGAAUACCUGUUCUCUUCUUACAUUCUAUUCUAUGCCAUCCUAAUAGUGAAAACUAAAGAUUCAUGCAAUUCAGUCAAAUGUCAAAGGGGAGGUGGCUUGUUUACAAGUACCACCCAUAAAUGAGAAAAUGGUGUUAACUGUGUUUUUUGUGUACAAAAUGUCUCUAAAAUGACUUAUUUCUCUAUCUGCAAGUAUUUUUUCAUAAAUAUGUAUCAUGGUGCUGAGAAGAAAUGUGAUCUACUGUACCUGAGACCUGCCAAUCAGUACAAUUUGUUAAUUACAUGUAGAACAUGUAAAACUACAUGUCAUCUAUGUAAAAAGAAUACACAGUAUAUGAAGUACCCCAAAUAACAUUAUUUUAACCACUAAGCUUAUUUACAUGUACUUACAUGUCACUAUGAUACUUGACCAGAUUCUGGUUUUCCAUAGUACUAAAGCAUAGCUUACCCCCCUUGACUCUGUUGUCUACCAUUGUGACACUAAUGUGAUACAUCUAUUGAAAUAAGGGGUUGUAUUACAUAUCUAAUACAUUUAUCUUGAUAAUAUUAAUGAAAUUGACUGAAUUCCAUGGGUUUCAAAAAAUGCCAUUCUCUUAAAGAAUUCUGACAUCUCAUGUCAUUGACGUCAACUCCCAUUUUUGACAAAUCUGACUUAUUCUGAGUGAAACUACACCAAUACAUCAUGUCGACCGCCCUAAAUGUGUACGCAAUAAAAUUAUUUAAAAACCCUACAUUUCUGUGUAUGAUGUUGUCAUUUUAGAGUGAUGAGAGUGUUCGAGUAAGAUCCCUGUGCCUAACAAAUAAUAUUACAAGUAUAUUGUAUCUAUGGUAAAAGUGACCUUAUAUGUGGUGCUACAUGCUGAACAUGUAAUCAUGAGAACCUGUGUAGAAAAUGAUGGAUUAGAGAGAGAUAAAGGGACAUAACUGCUCUUAAAAUCAAGAAAAUUUCCAACUUCACUGUCUACUUCUUUACAUACUGUAUAUGUAUAGAUCUGAAAUAUGCUCUAAUUAAGUAAACAACUCCCCAACAAGAUUUUGAAUACCUGUUCUCUUCUUACAUUCUAUUCUAUGCCAUCCUAAUAGUGAAAACUAAAGAUUCAUGCAAUUCAGUCAAAUGUCAAAGGGGAGGUGGCUUGUUUACAAGUACCACCCAUAAAUGAGAAAAUGGUGUUAACUGUGUUUUUUGUGUACAAAAUGUCUCUAAAAUGACUUAUUUCUCUAUCUGCAAGUAUUUUUUCAUAAAUAUGUAUCAUGGUGCUGAGAAGAAAUGUGAUCUACUGUACCUGAGACCUGCCAAUCAGUACAAUUUGUUAAUUACAUGUAGAACAUGUAAAACUACAUGUCAUCUAUGUAAAAAGAAUACACAGUAUAUGAAGUACCCCAAAUAACAUUAUUUUAACCACUAAGCUUAUUUACAUGUACUUACAUGUCACUAUGAUACUUGACCAGAUUCUGGUUUUCCAUAGUACUAAAGCAUAGCUUACCCCCCUUGACUCUGUUGUCUACCAUUGUGACACUAAUGUGAUACAUCUAUUGAAAUAAGGGGUUGUAUUACAUAUCUAAUACAUUUAUCUUGAUAAUAUUAAUGAAAUUGACUGAAUUCCAUGGGUUUCAAAAAAUGCCAUUCUCUUAAAGAAUUCUGACAUCUCAUGUCAUUGACGUCAACUCCCAUUUUUGACAAAUCUGACUUAUUCUGAGUGAAACUACACCAAUACAUCAUGUCGACCGCCCUAAAUGUGUACGCAAUAAAAUUAUUUAAAAACCCUACAUUUCUGUGUAUGAUGUUGUCAUUUUAGAGUGAUGAGAGUGUUCGAGUAAGAUCCCUGUGCCUAACAAAUAAUAUUACAAGUAUAUUGUAUCUAUGGUAAAAGUGACCUUAUAUGUGGUGCUACAUGCUGAACAUGUAAUCAUGAGAACCUGUGUAGAAAAUGAUGGAUUAGAGAGAGAUAAAGGGACAUAACUGCUCUUAAAAUCAAGAAAAUUUCCAACUUCACUGUCUACUUCUUUACAUACUGUAUAUGUAUAGAUCUGAAAUAUGCUCUAAUUAAGUAAACAACUCCCCAACAAGAUUUUGAAUACCUGUUCUCUUCUUACAUUCUAUUCUAUGCCAUCCUAAUAGUGAAAACUAAAGAUUCAUGCAAUUCAGUCAAAUGUCAAAGGGGAGGUGGCUUGUUUACAAGUACCACCCAUAAAUGAGAAAAUGGUGUUAACUGUGUUUUUUGUGUACAAAAUGUCUCUAAAAUGACUUAUUUCUCUAUCUGCAAGUAUUUUUUCAUAAAUAUGUAUCAUGGUGCUGAGAAGAAAUGUGAUCUACUGUACCUGAGACCUGCCAAUCAGUACAAUUUGUUAAUUACAUGUAGAACAUGUAAAACUACAUGUCAUCUAUGUAAAAAGAAUACACAGUAUAUGAAGUACCCCAAAUAACAUUAUUUUAACCACUAAGCUUAUUUACAUGUACUUACAUGUCACUAUGAUACUUGACCAGAUUCUGGUUUUCCAUAGUACUAAAGCAUAGCUUACCCCCCUUGACUCUGUUGUCUACCAUUGUGACACUAAUGUGAUACAUCUAUUGAAAUAAGGGGUUGUAUUACAUAUCUAAUACAUUUAUCUUGAUAAUAUUAAUGAAAUUGACUGAAUUCCAUGGGUUUCAAAAAAUGCCAUUCUCUUAAAGAAUUCUGACAUCUCAUGUCAUUGACGUCAACUCCCAUUUUUGACAAAUCUGACUUAUUCUGAGUGAAACUACACCAAUACAUCAUGUCGACCGCCCUAAAUGUGUACGCAAUAAAAUUAUUUAAAAACCCUACAUUUCUGUGUAUGAUGUUGUCAUUUUAGAGUGAUGAGAGUGUUCGAGUAAGAUCCCUGUGCCUAACAAAUAAUAUUACAAGUAUAUUGUAUCUAUGGUAAAAGUGACCUUAUAUGUGGUGCUACAUGCUGAACAUGUAAUCAUGAGAACCUGUGUAGAAAAUGAUGGAUUAGAGAGAGAUAAAGGGACAUAACUGCUCUUAAAAUCAAGAAAAUUUCCAACUUCACUGUCUACUUCUUUACAUACUGUAUAUGUAUAGAUCUGAAAUAUGCUCUAAUUAAGUAAACAACUCCCCAACAAGAUUUUGAAUACCUGUUCUCUUCUUACAUUCUAUUCUAUGCCAUCCUAAUAGUGAAAACUAAAGAUUCAUGCAAUUCAGUCAAAUGUCAAAGGGGAGGUGGCUUGUUUACAAGUACCACCCAUAAAUGAGAAAAUGGUGUUAACUGUGUUUUUUGUGUACAAAACGUCUCUAAAAUGACUUAUUUCUCUAUCUGCAAGUAUUUUUUCAUAAAUAUGUAUCAUGGUGCUGAGAAGAAAUGUGAUCUACUGUACCUGAGACCUGCCAAUCAGUACAAUUUGUUAAUUACAUGUAGAACAUGUAAAACUACAUGUCAUCUAUGUAAAAAGAAUACACAGUAUAUGAAGUACCCCAAAUAACAUUAUUUUAACCACUAAGCUUAUUUACAUGUACUUACAUGUCACUAUGAUACUUGACCAGAUUCUGGUUUUCCAUAGUACUAAAGCAUAGCUUACCCCCCUUGACUCUGUUGUCUACCAUUGUGACACUAAUGUGAUACAUCUAUUGAAAUAAGGGGUUGUAUUACAUAUCUAAUACAUUUAUCUUGAUAAUAUUAAUGAAAUUGACUGAAUUCCAUGGGUUUCAAAAAAUGCCAUUCUCUUAAAGAAUUCUGACAUCUCAUGUCAUUGACGUCAACUCCCAUUUUUGACAAAUCUGACUUAUUCUGAGUGAAACUACACCAAUACAUCAUGUCGACCGCCCUAAAUGUGUACGCAAUAAAAUUAUUUAAAAACCCUACAUUUCUGUGUAUGAUGUUGUCAUUUUAGAGUGAUGAGAGUGUUCGAGUAAGAUCCCUGUGCCUAACAAAUAAUAUUACAAGUAUAUUGUAUCUAUGGUAAAAGUGACCUUAUAUGUGGUGCUACAUGCUGAACAUGUAAUCAUGAGAACCUGUGUAGAAAAUGAUGGAUUAGAGAGAGAUAAAGGGACAUAACUGCUCUUAAAAUCAAGAAAAUUUCCAACUUCACUGUCUACUUCUUUACAUACUGUAUAUGUAUAGAUCUGAAAUAUGCUCUAAUUAAGUAAACAACUCCCCAACAAGAUUUUGAAUACCUGUUCUCUUCUUACAUUCUAUUCUAUGCCAUCCUAAUAGUGAAAACUAAAGAUUCAUGCAAUUCAGUCAAAUGUCAAAGGGGAGGUGGCUUGUUUACAAGUACCACCCAUAAAUGAGAAAAUGGUGUUAACUGUGUUUUUUGUGUACAAAACGUCUCUAAAAUGACUUAUUUCUCUAUCUGCAAGUAUUUUUUCAUAAAUAUGUAUCAUGGUGCUGAGAAGAAAUGUGAUCUACUGUACCUGAGACCUGCCAAUCAGUACAAUUUGUUAAUUACAUGUAGAACAUGUAAAACUACAUGUCAUCUAUGUAAAAAGAAUACACAGUAUAUGAAGUACCCCAAAUAACAUUAUUUUAACCACUAAGCUUAUUUACAUGUACUUACAUGUCACUAUGAUACUUGACCAGAUUCUGGUUUUCCAUAGUACUAAAGCAUAGCUUACCCCCCUUGACUCUGUUGUCUACCAUUGUGACACUAAUGUGAUACAUCUAUUGAAAUAAGGGGUUGUAUUACAUAUCUAAUACAUUUAUCUUGAUAAUAUUAAUGAAAUUGACUGAAUUCCAUGGGUUUCAAAAAAUGCCAUUCUCUUAAAGAAUUCUGACAUCUCAUGUCAUUGACGUCAACUCCCAUUUUUGACAAAUCUGACUUAUUCUGAGUGAAACUACACCAAUACAUCAUGUCGACCGCCCUAAAUGUGUACGCAAUAAAAUUAUUUAAAAACCCUACAUUUCUGUGUAUGAUGUUGUCAUUUUAGAGUGAUGAGAGUGUUCGAGUAAGAUCCCUGUGCCUAACAAAUAAUAUUACAAGUAUAUUGUAUCUAUGGUAAAAGUGACCUUAUAUGUGGUGCUACAUGCUGAACAUGUAAUCAUGAGAACCUGUGUAGAAAAUGAUGGAUUAGAGAGAGAUAAAGGGACAUAACUGCUCUUAAAAUCAAGAAAAUUUCCAACUUCACUGUCUACUUCUUUACAUACUGUAUAUGUAUAGAUCUGAAAUAUGCUCUAAUUAAGUAAACAACUCCCCAACAAGAUUUUGAAUACCUGUUCUCUUCUUACAUUCUAUUCUAUGCCAUCCUAAUAGUGAAAACUAAAGAUUCAUGCAAUUCAGUCAAAUGUCAAAGGGGAGGUGGCUUGUUUACAAGUACCACCCAUAAAUGAGAAAAUGGUGUUAACUGUGUUUUUUGUGUACAAAAUGUCUCUAAAAUGACUUAUUUCUCUAUCUGCAAGUAUUUUUUCAUAAAUAUGUAUCAUGGUGCUGAGAAGAAAUGUGAUCUACUGUACCUGAGACCUGCCAAUCAGUACAAUUUGUUAAUUACAUGUAGAACAUGUAAAACUACAUGUCAUCUAUGUAAAAAGAAUACACAGUAUAUGAAGUACCCCAAAUAACAUUAUUUUAACCACUAAGCUUAUUUACAUGUACUUACAUGUCACUAUGAUACUUGACCAGAUUCUGGUUUUCCAUAGUACUAAAGCAUAGCUUACCCCCCUUGACUCUGUUGUCUACCAUUGUGACACUAAUGUGAUACAUCUAUUGAAAUAAGGGGUUGUAUUACAUAUCUAAUACAUUUAUCUUGAUAAUAUUAAUGAAAUUGACUGAAUUCCAUGGGUUUCAAAAAAUGCCAUUCUCUUAAAGAAUUCUGACAUCUCAUGUCAUUGACGUCAACUCCCAUUUUUGACAAAUCUGACUUAUUCUGAGUGAAACUACACCAAUACAUCAUGUCGACCGCCCUAAAUGUGUACGCAAUAAAAUUAUUUAAAAACCCUACA